GCAUGGGUCAAAGGGCCAGCGCAUGCCUUUUAUGGGUUGUCGCCAGCCAUAAUGUGCAGAUCGGACAUGAGGCAAUAAAAGCUUGGCCCACCAACCACAUGGCUCCUUCCGCCCUGUCAGCGUAGGGGUGAACCGAGCGUAGGUGCGGCAGGGUUGGUGGAGUCUGCUGAGUGCUUCUGGCGUAGCAGCUCGGCAGUGGUUACCGUCCUGAAUCAUGGAACAAGACUGCACU